GUAUUUGAGAUGCAAAUGUUGAGUAAACGUCCUUCAAAUACGGUAACACAAAAUAAUCAAAGGACACCUAGCAACGAUUACAUAAAUCACCGCCACCCUAGCAAGAAAAAUCUAUCUUUGACAUCGCAUUUCUUGUGAAAAAUAUUACCGCGAUUGGUGUUUGUUUCCGCAUUUGAUAUUUGCAUUUCAAACGCACACAGCAAUACUUUAGCUGUACGCAGCUGAUAAGUACAGCUGAUUGCAUAACGUCUGUAAUGCCUGCCGUACAAAUCAAGAGGAGCUGUCACUUUUCCGAACGGAAAUAUGUGCCGCUUAAUUAUUCCACAAGUAAAAGUGGCAUUUUGCUCAUACUGAAUCAGCUGUCAAAAUUACUUGGGUAGAAAGGAGAAAUUUUACUUGAGUGAUUUACGUUUCAGGUCCGUACUUGGCUUUUCUAUAGAAUAAAAUUCGUUUCACACGGAGAGUUUUGGAAAUACUAGAUAGUGUAUAAAUUAUCCCAUUUUUUGCAUAUCAGGAUUUUAUUCAGUGCAAAGCAUAUGAAUUAUGCACCGCCAAUAUGAUUUUUAUGCUUUGCUAUGCAUAUCCGAAAAUUAUUGUUGUCAAGGGAUUUUGGCAACCCUGUGUUAUACUUGGGACUUUGAGAUUUUUCAUUUACAGUUGACAAUAGUCUUUUUGCACGCGUUCACGAUGAAGAACAACGGUUUUCUGAGAUUUUUGGCGCUACGAUUAAAAUUAGGAAAAGAUCGUAUCCCAAGUGUAACGAUUAAACAUGUUUCUAUCUAAGCGGAGUUAAUGAAGUGUAAACAAUUUAAUUAGCUGUGAGAUUGAAUACAAAAAAGGCAAAUGUCCCGGAAAAAACCCCAAUUGCGUUGGAUGGGAGAACGAGGAUUAUUGACUAUACAGACGACGACGGAUGCGGAAUCCAAUUGCCCACCAACGCAUUUUGUCCAUUUCGUGGUUGACCCACUAGUACCCCAAAAAGGUUAGCAUGCCACCGGAAUUCCGGAUGUAUGGAGGUCGCAGGGAGGAUGAUUUCAUCGAGCAAUCUCCACCACGUUAUACGAUCUGCAAAACUUCCUGCAUCGAUACAGAUGGAUUGAAUAUACAUGAAUUCUACCAGGAUGUAAUCGGAAUCGAAUGGUAUUAUUAAUUUAGUGAUAAAUGGAUAUUUUUGUUAAUAAAAUCAUAUUAAUCGCA